UACGAAGGGGGCUAGCGUUGCUCGGAAUCACUGGGCGUAAAGCGCACGUAGGCGGCUUCUUAAGUCAGGGGUGAAAUCCUGGAGCUCAACUCCAGAACUGCCUUUGAUACUGAGGAGCUCGAGUCCGGGAGAGGUGAGUGGAACUCCGAGUGUAGAGGUGAAAUUCGUAGAUAUUCGGCGGAACACCAGUGGCGAAGGCGACUCACUGGCCCGAUACUGACGCUGAGGCGCGAAAGCGUGGGGAGCAAACAGG
rnacentral:rRNA from 1 species